rnacentral:lncRNA from 1 species
AAAGAAAAUUAUUGGUGCUUCCAAAGUUUUAAUGUUUUUCUUCUUCUUUGGCAUUUUUGAAACAUGUUUUUCCCUGUGUAGCUUAAUUUGCCUCAAUCUCACCAAACACUCAGACCUCUCCCUCCAAGGCACUGAAUUACUUAGGUAUGGUUGUUUUAGAUACAAUAAAGGUUGUAAAUGAAAACACUACAAAACGUAAUAAAGUUAACAGUUGUGAAAAUUUGAAUUGGUCAUUUUCUUCUAAAAAUUAGAAAUACAAGGAAAUGUUAUUGUUAUUUCAAAAUAAAUAAACUAUUAAAUGUUUGCUAAAUUACAUGGUUAUAACUAUCCAAAUACUUAAUUAUUAUGAAGAAAUAUCAAAAUGUAAGAUAAUAUAAUGCUUCAUAAGAAAACUAACCAUGGCAUAUAUCACUUCUCUUCCCUAGGUUCUGAAUAUGUAGUAAAAGAGAAUUUAUUAACAUAGCUUUACGCUAUAAAUUCUGGGGAGUCAAACAAUGGUCAUCUCAUACUGGAGACCCUUGAGAGCCUGGAAAUUGUUGAGCCUACAAGACUGAGUGUUUUGCCUGUCCUAAUGUUGUGCUUAGGGCCCGAACAUCCCUCCAGUUCCACUGCCCUAAAAUUCUAAAGACACUGUAUUCUGCAGUCACUGAAGGGUUGCAGUGUCAUAGGUAGAUGAGCUUGUAAAAGAGAAUGAAAGCAAGUAAAAUAAAAAUUAAAAAAAAAAAAACAAAAAAAAAACAGUGUUUCAAUUUUCUAUCCCCUUUCAACUGGGCUGCAGCCAAAAGAUGCUAUAUUCCUUUGGAGUGUGAAAAAAUGCUAUAUUCCUUUGGGGUGUGUCUACCCACUCUAUGUAACCCUCUCAAGAAAAUCCUUCCAGGUAUGUCAAAUCUUGCCUUUUAGUUAGCUCUGGAUCUAGGCAAGUUCACAGCAAAGACCAACUACUGAAUGUGCUGAAGUUGAGGAUUAAUCAUUAAGACCCAAAUCCUUUUCAGUUUGGUACACAUGUGAAUAUAUAAUUAUUCACAAUUCUACCAAGAAACUUGUCCUAAGCCAUUGGAACCAAUGUUAAACAUUACUCAAAGUAAAACCAUUACAUUUUAUUACAUGGACUAAUAGCAUUUUAGUUGUUUUUAAUUUAAAAUACUAUUGUUCUUUUCAUAUUUGUCUAAAUAAUUGAGAAAUGGUAAUAUACAUAGUAGCUUAAUUUUUUGCAUUUAUUGAAUAGUUUUAUUCAUUGUUGUACUAUUUUGAUACAGUUGUGUCUUUUUAAAAAUUUUUUUAUUAGGUAUUUUCCUCAUUUACAUUUCCAAUGCUAUCCCAAAAGUCCCUCAUACCCACCCCCCCACUCCCCUACCCACCCACUCCCCCUUUUUGGCCCUGGCGUUCCCCUGUACUGGGGCAUAUAAAGUUUGCAAGUCCAAUGGGCCUCUUUCCAGUGAUGGCCGACUAGGCCAUCCUUUGAUACAUAUGCAGCUAGACUCAAGAGCUCCUGGGUACUGGUUAGUUCAUAAUGUUGUUCCACCUAUAGGGUUGCAUAUCCCUUUAGCUCCUUGGGUACUUUCUCUAGCUCCUUCGUUGGGGGACCUGUGAUCCAUCCAUUAGCUGACUGUGGGGAUUGAAUUAUAGUGAGAUUUAAUGAAUUCCUGUUGUGUAUAGUUCUGUCUACACAGCUUUAAGCUCCCGGCACAUUGCAUGCACGUACCUGCCCAGAAGCUAUCUCAGAUACUCAAGUAAAAAUCACACACACACACACUAGCUAAUUUUAAAACUGGUUUAUUGUCUCUGUGGCUUGGAUCUUCUAAGCAUUCUGCAACUAGUGUGUCCUUACCUUCAUUCCUUGAUCAUCACCUCUAACUCUUCCCUCAGCUUUAGUUACCUUUACUCCUAGCUCAACAACUCUAAAUCUGCCCUCAGCUUGGUUUCUCAGUUACCUUUACUUAGAGUUCAACACCUCUAAAUUUCCCCUCAGCUUUUAUGAAGCUCAAGACCCGCUUUCUCUUUCUGCCUACAUAUUAGAAGAUCUACCCUCCUGCGUUUCUUCCAUCUCUCUCCCCCAAGUAUCUCAGUUCUCACUCUCUCACCUAGCCUAUGAGAAUUUGAAAGCCUUGCCUCUUUCUUUCUGCCCAGCAACUAGCCACUGGCAUCUUUAUUGAUAGAUCAAAGACCAACUGGGGGCAAGGACCUUCAGCAUCAGUAAAGAGAUUCUCCAUGCUAGCAUCAGAACCACUCCCUCAAUUCCCUCACUACAGGACCCAUUACUUCUGCCCCCUUGAAGUCAAUGGAUUAAUUUUUCCAGAUAUAAGAAAAACAAAAGAAGACUCAAAGAACUUUUGAAUUUAAAGUCACAUUAAUUCUGAGAUUAUGACAGAAUAUCUGUAUUAUUCAUAAUUGAUCACAGAAACUUGUAAUUGAACAAAGUCACCAUUGUUAAUUUUUUUCUUUUCUUUAGUUGUAUUAUAUGUUGAAUAAUUAAAUAGAACUUGAAUCUUGGAUGAAAGAAAUCUUUAAAAGUUCAUAUCUCAUGAUCUCUCUUUUGGAAGAAACAUAUAACAUAUUUAAAACAAUUUUUGACAAAAUAAAUGUUCAUCAGAAAAACGAAAUAAUAUCUUCAUUGCUAUUGAUUCUACUUCUUUAGUUACAUUCAAGGAAUGAUUAAAAGGAAGCUUAAGUGAUUGACUGGCAAAUAAUUUCAAACUAUCCAACAUUUAUCUUAACGAAAGGGAAGAAAGAAUCUUGCUAUUGUAUGGAUAUAGACAAUGGAAUGAAACAAUGUGUCUUCAAAAACAUUAUGAAAUAAAAUGAAAUGAAAUGGUAUAGUGUUUAUUCAGUAGAACCCACAUUUUACUUGGUAACCCCAUCCCUUCAACAUGCCUUCCCAACACAAUGGACUAUAUUUCUUCAAACUGUGAUCCAAAAUAUACCUUUAGUCCUUGAAGUUGUUUCUUGUCAGUAUUUAGUCAUAGCAGAGAGACAAUUUAACAUACACACACUGUGAAGAAAGGAACAGUCUCUUAAUAUAAAACUAUUUCUCUUUUACCUUGCAAUGUUAGUAUAUUGCUUGGAAGGUUACAAAUGUUGGAAGACAAAUUUAUGUUUACCCAACCUAUUGUGGCUUAUGGAAACGUAAAGGGAGAAAUAUACAUUAGCAUCAAUGCAGUUUCCAUUAAGGUAGUCAUCUCUAAGAAAAGGAGCUAUCAGAAAUGAUAGCAUAAAUCUAGUCCUCAGAAAUAUUGCCUAGUCUACUGGACUUCCUGUAGAUUUUACUUUGCUAGGUAAUAGAUUCUUGUCAAUGCCAUGUUAUCUGACUCUUACUGUAUAAGCAAUGUGCUCACCUGAAUAAGACAAAUUAAGAUAGAACAUGCAGGGACCAUCUGUAGACACAUUUCUCUUCACUUCGUGACUAUGGACAGAAUGUUUACUGAAGACAAGGAGCUUCCCUGAAUGCUGAGAUGCUGAGGUACUGU